rnacentral:rRNA from 1 species
CAAUAGCGUAUAUUAAAGUUGUUGCGGUUAAAAAGCUCGUAGUUGGAUUUCGGGCGGGAAUGGCCGGUCCGCCGUUUCGGUGUGCACUUGCUACGCCCACCUUGCUGCCGGGGACGUGCUCUUGAGUUCACGCUCGGGACACGGAGUCGGCGAGGUUACUUUGAGUAAAUUAGAGUGUUCAAAGCAGGCCUACGCUCUGAAUACAUUAGCAUGGAAUAACACGAUAGGACUCUGGCCUAUCUUGUUGGUCUGUAGGACCGGAGUAAUGAUUAAGAGGGACAGUCGGGGGCAUUCGUAUUUCAUUGUCAGAGGUGAAAUUCUUGGAUUUAUGAAAGACGAACUACUGCGAAAGCAUUUGCCAAGGAUGUUUUCAUUAA